rnacentral:rRNA from 1 species
GACGAACGCUGGCGGCGUGCUUAACACAUGCAAGUCGAGCGGAGCGGCGAACGGGUGCGUAACUCGUGAGUAACUGCCCCCCUCUCUGGGAUAAAAGUUGGAAACGGCUGCUAAUACCGGAUAGUGGGGGAUGACUCGCGUCCUAUCAGCUUGGUGGUGGGGCAGUGGCGUACCAAGGCGACGACGGGUAGCCGGCCUGAGAGGGCGACCGGACAAAUUGGGCGGAGAUACGGCCCAAACUACUACGGGAGGCAGCAGUGGGGAAUAUUGCACAAUGGGGGAAACCCUGAUGCAGCAAACCGCGGGCGGGAUGACGGCCUUCGGGUUGUAAACCGCUUUCAGACAUGACGCGGUGUUGGCAGGAGAAGCACCGGCUAACUACGUGCCAGCAGCCGCGGUAAUUC